rnacentral:rRNA from 1 species
GCCAUUGAUACUGUCUGGCUUGAAUUACAAGGAAGUAACUAGAAUAUGUAGUGUAGCGGUGAAAUGCUUAGAGAUUACAUGGAAUACCAAUUGCGAAGGCAGGUUACUACUUGUGGAUUGACGCUGAUGGACGAAAGCGUGGGUAGCGAACAGGAUUAGAUACCCUGGUAGUCCACGCCGUAAACGAUGGAUACUAGCUGUUGGGAGUGAUCUCAGUGGCUAAGCGAAAGUGAUAAGUAUCCCACCUGGGGAGUACGGGCGCAAGCCUGAAACUCAAAGGAAUUGACGGGGGCCCGCACAAGCGGUGGAGCAUGUGGUUUAAUUCGAUGAUACGCGAGGAACCUUACCAAGGCUUAAAUGUAGAUUGACCGUUUUGGAAACAGAACUUUCGCAAGACAAUUUACAAGGUGCUGCAUGGUUGUCGUCAGCUCGUGCCGUGAGGUGUCGGGUUAAGUCCUAUAACGAGCGCAACCCCUGUUGUUAGUUGCCAGCGAGUCAAGUCGGGAACUCUAACAAGACUGCCAGUGCAAACUGUGAGGAAGGUGGGGAUGACGUCAAAUCAUCACGGCCCUUACGCCUUGGGCUACACACGUGCUACAAUGGACGGUACAGAGAGCAGCCACUUCGCAAGGAGGAGCGAAUCUACAAAACCGUUCUCAG